GGGGCGCCCGGGGGCCCGGGGAGGGGCUGGGGAAGCCGAAGGGGUGCAGGGCAGGCUGGGAGCCGGGGCACUGAAGUCUGAUUUCUGGAAAAGAAUCACUCAUCUGCCGUGGUGUCUCAAACACCUGCUAUGUGCCAGGCCUGGUGCUGGCUGACCCCCAGUUACAAGGAUCCCGGCACCCCAUCCGCACACUCAAGGGUCCCCACAUCUGCUCACAGAGCUGUUUACGCAGUGUCCUGGCAAACACAGGUGCCACUGCUUCUUAUUAGACCCGCAGACAGAUUCCACUACAAGCUACUUCACACGACCCUUGCUUCAUUUACUGUUCGCUUCCUGCAUUUGCCUUACUCAUUUGUUCUCGGGCUCCGAUGGGAAAGAUAAACGUGUGUGGGAAAAGAGACUGCAGAUCUGUAGUCACCUGUAGGCUCUAGCCGACAAGAGAAUCCUUGCAAGCGGACGUCACUUCACUUCACCCUUCUGUGUUGAUCUAGAUCUAGAGGCAUUCUUCGUGAAGACAGGGAGCAGGCUGCUUCGUAUCUUAUCCUGUCUGGACAGUAAACUGCUUUUGGAAUGUUGGGCUCCCUCCCCCUGGCUGGGUUGGCUUCUCCUGUUGACAGGGAGAGGGAUUCUGCUUGGCGUGCGUCCCUGUCUGUGUCACGCCCGAGGCUGCCCAGUGGGAGGUGGGUAGCAGCAUGCCUGCUGUCUCACCUGGUGCAGGAGCAGAAUGUGGGAGCCUGCAGCGUGGGUCACAGAGGAGAGUCUCUGGCUUUGAGGGCUGACAUGCUACGGCCCACCCUGUGCACCGGCAUCCACCAGCUGUGGCCUGCGGUGUCAACAAAAUGGACUUGUUACUAGCACUGCUCAGCUCUGGCUCAUGGUGAUUCAGGGGACUGAACCUGGGACUUGGGAGUCUUAUGCAGGAGAGUCUCUGCAGAGCCACCGCGCCAUCUCCCCCAACCAUCUAAAAAUGGAGAGCCCUGCUCAGCUUCACUGACGGUGCUGCUGGGGAUUGACCUGGGGUUUUGGUGCCUCCAGGCAUUGAAGUCUUUUUGCGGAACCAUUAUGCUGUCUCUGCAUGUGAAGAUUAUUAUUUUUUAUUUAAUAAACGUGUUCAUAUUUA